AGUGCAUUAGUUCAGUGGUUAGAACGCUACACUGUCACUGUAGAGAUCACGAGUUCGAUUCUCGUAUGCACUGCAA
rnacentral:tRNA from 1 species